rnacentral:rRNA from 1 species
UGGGGAAUAUUGCACAAUGGGGGAAACCCUGAUGCAGCAACGCCGCGUGAGUGAAGAAGUAUUUCGGUAUGUAAAGCUCUAUCAGCAGGGAAGAAAAUGACGGUACCUGACUAAGAAGCCCCGGCUAACUACGUGCCAGCAGCCGCGGUAAUACGUAGGGGGCAAGCGUUAUCCGGAUUUACUGGGUGUAAAGGGAGCGUAGACGGUUUGGCAAGUCUGAAGUGAAAGCCCGGGGCUCAACCCCGGGACUGCUUUGGAAACUGUCAGACUAGAGUGCAGGAGAGGUAAGUGGAAUUCCUAGUGUAGCGGUGAAAUGCGUAGAUAUUAGGAGGAACACCAGUGGCGAAGGCGGCUUACUGGACUGUAACUGACGUUGAGGCUCGAAAGCGUGGGGAGCAAACAGG